rnacentral:rRNA from 1 species
GAUGAACGCUGGCGGCGUGCCUAAUACAUGCAAGUCGGACGGGGUACAGAAGCAAUUUUGUACUUAGCGGCGAACGGGUGAGUAACGCGUUGGUGACCUGCCCCAAAGCGGGGGAUAACAGCCUGAAAGGGUUGCUACUACCGCAUGUGAUCGAAAGGGAUUAGAAGCUUUUGAUUAAAGGAGAAAUCCACUUUGGGAGGGGCCUGCGUCCCAUCAGCUAGUUGGUAGGGUAACGGCCUACCAAGGCGAAGACGGGUAGGGGACCUGAGAGGGUGACCACCCACAAUGGAACGGAGACACGGUCCAUACACCUACGGGUGGCAGCAGUAGGGAAUAUUGCACCAUGGGCGAAAGCCUGAUGCAGCACCGCCGCGUGAGUGAUGAAGGCCCUCGGGUCGUAAAACUCUUUUCAAGAGGAAGAGGAAGGGCGGUACUCUUGGAAUAAGCCUCGGCUAACUACGUGCCAGCCGCCGCGGUAACAC